rnacentral:rRNA from 2 species
UGAGGAAUAUUGGUCAAUGGGCGAGAGCCUGAACCAGCCAAGUAGCGUGCAGGAUGACGGCCCUAUGGGUUGUAAACUGCUUUUAUGCGGGGAUAAAGUGCGUGACGUGUCAUGCAUUGCAGGUACCGCAUGAAUAAGGACCGGCUAAUUCCGUGCCAGCAGCCGCGGUAAUACGGAAGGUCCGGGCGUUAUCCGGAUUUAUUGGGUUUAAAGGGAGCGUAGGCCGCCAGAUAAGCGUGUUGUGAAAUGUACCGGCUCAACCGGUGAAUUGCAGCGCGAACUGUUUGGCUUGAGUGCACGGUAAGCAGGCGGAAUUCAUGGUGUAGCGGUGAAAUGCUUAGAUAUCAUGAAGAACUCCGAUUGCGAAGGCAGCUUGCUGCAGUGCGACUGACGCUGAUGCUCGAAGGUGCGGGUAUCAAACAGGAUUAGAUACCCUGGUAGUCCGCACGGUAAACGAUGGAUGCCCGCUGUCCGCCUUUUGUGGCGGGUGGCCAAGCGAAAGCGUUAAGCAUCCCACCUGGGGAGUACGCCGGCAACGGUGAAACUCAAAGGAAUUGACGGGGGCCCGCACAAGCGGAGGAACAUGUGGUUUAAUUCGAUGAUACGCGAGGAACCUUACCCGGGCUUGAACUGCCAGUGAACGAUACAGAGAUGUUGAGGCCCUUCGGGGCGCUGGUGGAGGUGCUGCAUGGUUGUCGUCAGCUCGUGCCGUGAGGUGUCGGCUUAAGUGCCAUAACGAGCGCAACCCCUUUUUUCAGUUGCCAUCAGGUAAUGCUGGGCACUCUGGAGAUACUGCCACCGCAAGGUGUGAGGAAGGUGGGGAUGACGUCAAAUCAGCACGGCCCUUACGUCCGGGGCUACACACGUGUUACAAUGGGGCAUACAGAGUGUUGGCUUAACGCAAGUUUGGUCUAAUCUUCAAAGUGUCUCCCAGUUCGGACUGGGGUCUGCAACCCGACCCCACGAAGCUGGAUUCGCUAGUAAUCGCGCAUCAGCCAUGGCGCGGUGAAUACGUUCCCGGGCCU